UUAGGACGAGCCAAUUUGUGGUGCAAUAAUGUCUUGAUUCGGCGGACAUAUUCAAGUGAUCACUUAAUUGAAUGGUGGGACGAUCGUCAUCAGUGAUGGAAAAUUUUCACCGCGCCGGGCGAAAAACUGUUUGGUGCCGUUUCCAUACAUGUGUCCACGGUAUUAGGUGGUAUCGUAGCAGCAGCAGCUCGCAGUUUUGAGUGGUGAUAUUCAUCACUAAAAGUUUGACACGUGUACAACUAAAACAAAUUAGCUUCUGCUGUUAACGUCCAGUUACAUACUAAGGACGAUGUCAAAUUAUUCUGACAUGGUCACCGCCGCAAUUGAUUUCAAUUUUGUGAGCUACAGCUUGAAGAUGGGAGAAAAUCUAUCUAAUUGAAAAUGGUGGUGGCGGAGGGAGUUAUUGGAAGCCAACCCACCGCUUGUAAAUCUGGGUACUGCGUGUUUGUUGUAUUAAAAGGUGCUGCCUGUGUAAUUAUCCACUGAUAAAAUUCAGGAAAUUCUAAUCUUUUUGUUCUUUUGUCUUGGUUUGGUAUCAGAACCUUUGGGGCUCCACAACUUUUAUUGAUCUAGUUUCCUACUUAAACAAACAGCCUUCGUUGAGAAACUACUUCAUCGUUCUUGAUCCUUUUCAAUACCAAGCAGUACUAUAGCGCAACCAAUUCAACCCUAAACCCUAAUUCACUCUCUCGUCCUUAUUUGUAUUCGCAUGGAGUUGCUUGAACCCGGUAGGGUGGUUUGUAAUUGUAAUUGGGCGUUAACGACAGAGUUGACGCAUUUUAGUUGUACAUGUGUCAAAUUUUUAGUGGAUCAGUAGCAGCACUCGGCACUGCUAGCUAGCUAGCAGGUGGUGCCAGUGCCAUUGCUAGCUAGCAGAGUUGACAUA